CAAUAGCGUAUAUUAAAGUUGUUGCGGUUAAAAAGCUCGUAGUUGGAUUUCUGCCGAGGACGACCGGUCCGCCCUGUGGGUGCGCAUCUGGCUCGGCCUGGGCAUCUUCUUGGAGAACGUAUCUGCACUUGACUGUGUGGUGCGGUAUCCAGGACUUUUACUUUGAGGAAAUUAGAGUGUUUCAAGCAGGCACACGCCUUGAAUACAUUAGCAUGGAAUAAUAAGAUAGGACUUCAGUUCUAUUUUGUUGGUUUCUAGAGCUGAGGUAAUGAUUAAUAGGGAUAGUUGGGGGCAUUCGUAUUUAACUGUCAGAGGUGAAAUUCUUGGAUUUGUUAAAGACGGACUACUGUGAAAGCAUUUGCCAAGGAUGUUUUCAUUGA
rnacentral:rRNA from 1 species